AUGUGCUCAUCGCUCAUCACUCAACACUCAUCAGUGGAGCUCGAAGCUGUAGUGGAAGGAAGGAAGAAAGCCCGCACUUUUCCGUCACCUCUUGAAUCCAUUGCUCUCCUCCAGUCUCCAGAAUACAGAUCCCCUCCCCAGCGACGACUGAGAUCCAAAUCCAAUCCAACCUUCAGCUCGGCCACAAUUCAGAGCAGAUCAGGGACAAGCUGCUGCACACGCAAGCACAACGCCCAGGCUCAGGGGAGCCACGUCGGCGACAACCCUGCCCUGCAGCGCUUGCUGGACAAGCUGAGCAGGGACGCCGACCAGGCGGAGGACUUGCUGGAUGAGCUCCACUACUUCCAGAUCCAUGACAAGCUCCACGGCACCACCUACGCCACCACCCAAGAUCUGGACGGCCUUGUCCGCCAUCAAGCUCUCCACGCCGGUACUGCACUUCGCCACGCCGGUACUGCACUUCGCCACGCCGGUACUGCUCAAGAAAUGUGUAAACUAAGGGAGAAGAAAGACAUUAUUGCAAAUCUUCGGACUUUGAUGUUUUUUAGAGAAUAUGGAGAUGAAGGAAUCGCCAAGAUUUUGAAAGACAGCUUCAAGGAAAUAAAUAGUCUGCGUGUCCUAUUUAUAGUGGUGAAGUCUGCAGAAUCUUUUCCAUAUAGGUUUUCAAAACUUAUCCACCUCCAGUACCUCAAAAUUAGUUCGUCUUACAGUGAAGAUGAAAUGAGCUUGCCUAGUACACUAUCAAGAUUUUAUCACUUGAAAAUCUUGGACCUAGAUCUUUGGCGUGGUAGUUCUGAUUUGCCUGAAGACUUUAGCCGCCUUGAGAAUUUACAUGAUUUCCAUGCUGCAAGUGAACUCCACUCCAAUAUUCGCAAUGUCGGAAAGAUGAAGCAUUUGCAGGAGCUCAAAGAAUUCCAUGUCAGGAAGGAGAGCAUGGGAUUUGAACUGUCAGAACUUGGGGCAUUGACAGAGCUUGAAGGAGGACUGACUAUAUGUGGUCUUGAACACGUGGCAACCAAGGAGGUAGCUACUGCAGCCAAACUGAUGUUGAAAAGGAAUCUGAAGGAGUUGGGAUUACUCUGGAGCAGAGAUGGACCAACUACAGAUGAUGAUAUUCUUGAUGCUCUUCAACCACACUCUAAUCUUAGAGUACUUAGAAUUGUAAAUCAUGGUGGUACCGUUGGUCCUAGCUGGUUGUGUCUUGACAUCUGGUUAACAAGUUUAGAGACUCUCACUCUAGACUGCAUAUCUUGGAACACCCUCCCACCUUUUGGGAAGCUGCCAAAUCUCAAGGGACUCAAAUUGAAGAAAAUUUCUGGAAUGCAUCAGUUUGGGCCUCGAUGUGGUGGCGCUGCAGGCAAAUGUUUUAUGCGCCUGAAGGCAGUUGGGUUUUAUGAGAUGGCAGAACUAGCUGAAUGGGUUGUGGAACCUAAUUGCCAGUCAUUUCCAAGUCUUGAAACAAUCGAAUGCAUCGAUUGUCCCAAUCUCUGUGUGAUGCCCUUGUCGGAGGCAUCUUUCACCAAUUUGCGCAGACUUAAAGUUUCUGGGUGCCCCAAGAUGUCUCUGCCCUCCAUGCCUCACACCUCCACACUGACACAUUUGGAUGUUGAGAAAUUGUCUUAUCAUGGAAAGAAGUUGUUUGUUAGUGGGUAUGGCGGUGCUUUGGCCUCCCACAAUCUGGAUAAAGUAGAAGAUAUGACUGUUGGAAGAUGCGACGGUUUAUUCCCUGGAGAGCUGGAUGGCAGUUUUGUCUUCCGUUCAGUUAAGAGUCUCAAAUUAGAUGUAUCGCAUCUUACCAGCAGAAAAUCAUCAUCGUCAAAAGUUUUAAACUGUUUCCCAGCUCUUUCUGUGUUGGAGAUACAUGGAGAUGAGGAAUGUGUAAUGCAGUUGCCAUCAUCCAGCUCACUGCAAGAACUUACCUUCUCAGGCUGUAAGGGCCUGGUUCUUGUGCCUGUGGAGAAUGGAGGAGGAAUUCAGGAGGACAAGUCAUUGCUCCAAUCAUUAACAAUAUACAGAUGUAGCGAAUUGUUCUGUCGGUGGCCAAUGGAAGAAUCAGAGACCAUUUGCUAUUUCCCUGCUUCCCUCAUGGCUCUGCUCUCAAACCUCACGGCUCUCACCACUCUAACGCUCUGGUUGUGCAGUAAUUUAACAGUGGACGGAUUCAAUCCUCUCAUCGCAGCCAACCUCAUACAACUGCAAGUGGGUGGGUGCAACACCUUAGCAGCAGAUAUGCUCUCAGAGGUGGCCUCUCAGAGGGCCAAAUUAUUAUUGCCUGCAGGUUACAUCUCUAGAUUGGAGGUACUCAGGGUGGAUGACAUCUGUGGAUUGUUUGUUGCUCCAAUUUGCAGCCGCCUCGCCCCGGCCCUCCACACUCUUGAAUUCUGGUCUGAUAAGAGGACGGAAAGCUUCACCAAAGAGCAAGAGAAAGCGCUGCAGCUCCUCACCUCCCUCCAGACACUAGAAUUUUGA
rnacentral:rRNA from 1 species